GUCGCCUCCUAAAAGGUAACGGAGGCGCUCAAAGGUUCCCUCAGAAUGGUUGGAAAUCAUUCAUAGAGUGUAAAGGCAUAAGGGAGCUUGACUGCGAGACCUACAAGUCGAGCAGGGUCGAAAGACGGACUUAGUGAUCCGGUGGUUCCGCAUGGAAGGGCCAUCGCUCAACGGAUAAAAGCUACCCCGGGGAUAACAGGCUUAUCUCCCCCAAGAGUUCACAUCGACGGGGAGGUUUGGCACCUCGAUGUCGGCUCAUCGCAUCCUGGGGCUGUAGUCGGUCCCAAGGGUUGGGCUGUUCGCCCAUUAAAGCGGUACGCGAGCUGGGUUCAGAACGUCGUGAGACAGUUCGGUCCCUAUCCGUCGUGGGCGUAGGAAAUUUGAGAGGAGCUGUCCUUAGUACGAGAGGACCGGGAUGGACAUACCUCUGGUGUACCAGUUGUCGUGCCAACGGCAUAGCUGGGUAGCUAUGUGUGGACGGGAUAAGUGCUGAAAGCAUCUAAGCAUGAAGCCCCCCUCAAGAUGAGAUUUCCCAACUUCGGUUAUAAGAUCCCUCAAAGAUGAUGAGGUUAAUAGGUUCGAGGUGGAAGCAUGGUGACAUGUGGAGCUGACGAAUACUAAUCGAUCGAAGACUUAAUCAAAA
rnacentral:rRNA from 1 species